AUGCGUCUUCUUUCUCCAGCAUUCAAGUUCCAUUUCAAGGGAGGACGAUGUACCAUGAUACUUUCUGUUUUGUCGAGCCCUGCUUUGGUCUCUGGUUUGAUGGUUGCACGUGCUAAAAAUCCGGUACAUUCCGUUUUGUUUCCCAUCCUAGUCUUUUGCGACACUUCUGGUUUACUUAUUUUGUUAGGUCUCGACUUCUCCGCUAUGAUCUCCCCAGUAGUUCAUAUAGGAGCUAUUGUCGUUUCAUUCCUAUUCAUGGUUAUGAUGUUCAAUAUUCAAAUAGCGGAGAUUCACGAAGAAGUAUUGCGCUAUUUACCAGUGAGUGGUAUUAUUGGACUGAUCUUUUGGUGGGAAAUGUUCUUCAUUUUAGAUAAUGAAACCAUUCCAUUACUACCAACCCACAUAAAUACGACCUCUCUGAGAUAUACGGUUUAUGCCAGAAAGGUACGAAGUUGGACUAAUUUGGAAACAUUGGGCAAUUUACUUUAUACCUACUAUUCCGUCUGGUUUUUGGUUUCUAGUCUGAUUUUAUUAGUUGCUAUGAUUGGGGCUAUAGUACUUACUAUGCAUAGGACUACAAAGGUGAAAAGACAGGAUGUAUUCCGACGAAAUGCCUUGGAUUCUAGGAGCCAUGUAAUGAACAGGACUAUUUCUCCUUUUGGCCAUAGCCAUAGAAGAAGCUUCUCCUCCGGAGUGGGGGGACCGCCUGACAAUUACAAAGAAACCUUUAAAAUGUGGAUCUAG
rnacentral:rRNA from 1 species